UCCUGUUCAAAGGGACAGACACUUGGACUCUGGUGAGCACCAGCUUUCCGCUGGGGCGCUGCCAGAGGCCGUGCCCUCAUAAUCCUAGCUGUUUAGGACUCUGACCCUGGGUGCCCCAGUCACCCAUACACCUCUAGGCUGAAAUUUGGGACCCUGGGACAAAUAGGUGUGUGUGGUCAUAGUCAAAGGUAUUUCAUCCCCUAAAUCAGGGAGCAUAGGAGGAGAGUAGCACGGAGCUCAGGCUCCAACAAUCAGCUAGGGCCAAACCCUGGUCCCACCAUGUACCAAUGAUGUGGUCUUGGGCAAGUCAUGAGAAUCUCUGAGCCUCGUAUGGAACGCGGGGACAAUACUGUGUCAUACCCUUUAAGUGUUUAAGGUGACCAGGAGUGGAAAGUGGUUUUCACAGAAAUGCUGGAUGAUUAAUGGUCACUAGGUGUGUUUUUGACCCAGGUCUGUUGCAGGCCUGGUCACUGUGAUUUGGUCAUGAGAUGCUAUUCUGACCCUAUGCUAUUCAGGGCCCUAGGUUUUCCUGGGCCAGUGCUUUAAAGGACAGAUCUACGGUGGAUCUGUGGCCUCACCUCUGCUAUCGCAACGACUCUUGAGGAAAUCAUGUCAAGACUCAAGCUGGCUUGUGGGGUCACUCGCCCAGGCUGGUGGCCACAGUGAGUGGGCGUGACCACCUCAGGUGACCAGCACUCCCUCCCUGGGCUGCUGGAUAGAGGCGACUAGAGAGAAGACAGGCUACGGGUCCAAGGCUACAGUACCUUCUGGCUCUUCUCCCAGUCCUGAGAGGUGGUGAGGGACACCUGAAAAAGCCUGGGAUUUGGUCCUUGAGCCCUGAUCUGCAAGAGGGGGAGGAGGUCUGGGAGGUGGUCACUGAUGGUUUUGGAAAAGAUCGAAAAUGCCCCAUGGCAAGGUGGGAGGAGCUUGGGAAGCAGACCCCAUACUCCUUCCAGCCUCCAGGGCUUUGUCCACACAGGGCUCUCUGUCGGGGCUGCCCUUUCUAUCUUCUGCUCACACACACACACUCUUAGGGAUCUUCCGUGACCAGUCCCAGGGUCCCGUCUGCUGGGAAGAUUUUCCCCUGCCACAGCUGGAGGCAAUGGCCGCUUACUCACAUCCUCUGGUGCUCCUGUCGCCCAUGGCCCUCAUCUCUGUAGACCCUGAGGAUUCCCCUUCACUUGAUGGGCCCAGAGUGUCCCCCCUGACCUGGCACUCCUCAGCAGGUGUGCCCUACAGUUUUGCUGAAUAAAGGUGGCUUGGCUGUCA